UACGGGGGGGCAAGCGUUGUUCGGAAUUACUGGGCGUAAAGGGCUCGUAGGCGGCCAACUAAGUCGGAUGUGAAAUCCCCAGGCUCAACCUGGGAACUGCAUCCGAUACUGGAUGGCUUGAAUUCGGGAGAGGGAUGCAGAAUUCCAGGUGUAGCGGUGAAAUGCGUAGAUAUCUGGAGGAAUACCGGUGGCGAAGGCGGCAUCCUGGACCGACAGUUGACGCUGAGGAGCGAAAGCCAGGGGAGCAAACGGG
rnacentral:rRNA from 1 species